rnacentral:rRNA from 1 species
UACUAAGCGGAGGAAAAGAAACUAACAAGGAUUUCCUUAGUAGCGGCGAGCGAACAGGAAAGAGCCCAGCACUGAAUCCCGCGGUUCUGCCGCCGGGAAAUGUAGUGUUCGGGAGGAUCCAAUUAUCCCGCGGCGUCGGACCGNGNCCAAGUCCAUCUUGAAUGGGGCCGCUCAUCCGUAGAGGGUGCCAGGCCCGUAGCGACCGGGACGCGCCGUGGGAGGAUCUCUCCUUA